AAAAAAUAAGUGUCCAUGAAUUAUUCUAACAUUAAUGACAAAUUACUUGGUGAUAAAACAUCGUGGAUGCAGCCUGGGAUUGGAGUAGGUGAUGGAGGGGGUGGUGGCAGUAGAGGAAGAGGAGGAGGAGGGGGUGGUGCAAACCACGUGGCUGGAACAGCCGACGAUGAGGCACCGAAAGAUCCAGGUGCUCGUAUCACUCAUCAAUCCUACACCGAAAAGGAUUACGAAGGUCACCGAGCACACACGGUCUAUGUGGGUGUACAUUUACCCGGAGAGAGAAGACACCGUCGUCAUCAUAAACACCAUCAUUCCCAACGGCAAUCUUAUGGGGAAAGUAACGAUGAUACCGACAACGAUAGACCCAACAUUGCAGGACAAUUGGUGAUGAAGCGCAGGGCUCGUCUCGCGAGCAUUUGCGACCCCGACGGCGAAAUGAUAUUCACACCACCGGCCCAGAGAGUGCAAUUUAUUCUCGGCGAGGAAGUCGGGGACGAUGCUCACGAAUCGCAUCCUCUAUUUUCCGAAAUGGAAGAACUUGUCAAGGAUGGAGAUGAAAUGGAAUGGAAGGAAACCGCUAGGUGGAUCAAAUUUGAAGAAGAUGUUGAAGAAGGUGGAAACAGGUGGAGCAAACCACACGUAGCAACGUUAUCGUUACACUCGCUCUUCGAAUUGAGAAGUUUGCUUUUGAAUGGAACUGUUAUGCUUGACAUGGAAGCCAACAGUCUUGAACAGAUAGCUGAUCUGGCCUUGGAUAACAUGAUCAAUAAAGGUUCACUACCGAUCGAGACUCGAGAAAAAGUAAGGGAAACACUUUUGGUGAGACAUCGACAUCAGCACGAAAGACGCAAGGACAACAAUAUGUCGAGAUUACCGAUCAUCAGAUCUUUGGCAGAGAUUGGUCGCAAUCAUUCGUCAUCUAAGAAAAACGGCUGUACAUGUGGUAUGCAUGCCUUGUUGACGUCAGAUUUGCAGGAGCGUCGUGAUCCCGGGGACGCCUAUGCGCCCUCAGUUGGUCGUAGCAGCAGUUGUCCAAAUUCAAACACGGCCCUUCUUUCGAAAGAAGCUAAAGAUCUCAAAGGGCCUUACCUUCUGGUACCAGUGGAGGAAUCAAAUUCCGUUCCGACGAUCGCCGGUGCAACAAAUCAGACCGGUGGAACACCGAUGAAUGCUGGUGGCCGUUUCCUUGCCAUUCCCGGCAAUCCCGGACAAGAACCAGGUGCCAACGGAAUCGAUCGAAGUCCUAGCAGCGUUUCGAUUAGCAGAAAUCAUAGUUCUUCCGCUUUGGAAAAUGGGGAUGCCAAUCAUCGGGGUAAUACACAUUUUAUGAGAAAAAUACCAGCAGGAGCGGAAGCCAGUAACAUUUUGGUAGGCGAAGUUGAUUUUCUUGACAAAACAUUGUCCGCCUUCAUACGACUCAGUCAGGCAGGAAUAAUGGGUGAUCUUACUGAAGUACCUGUACCAACGAGAUUUAUCUUCGUACUUUUAGGACCCAUGGGUGGAAUUUCGGGUUUCCAUGAAAUUGGACGAGCAAUGGCAACGUUGAUGUCUGACGAGGUCUUCCACGAUGUUGCAUACAAGGCCAAAAAUAGGAAUCAUCUUCUUGCCGGUAUCGAUGAGUUUCUUGACGCUGUUACCGUUUUACCACCUGGCGAAUGGGAUCCUACGAUUAGAAUCGAACCACCUGCUGCCAUUCCGUCGCAAGACGUGAGGAAAAGGCCGAAAGAGGAAAAACCUAAGGAAGAAGCUGACGAGGAAGCUGACGAACAAAAGCAAAGAGAAGAAUCUGGUUUGUCCAGAUCGGGAAAAUUAUUUGGUGGGCUGAUAAACGAUAUCAAAAGAAAAGCGCCAUUUUACAUUUCCGAUUUUAAAGAUGCAUUAGCAUUGCAAUGCGUAGCGUCCUUCAUUUUCUUAUAUUUUGCGUGUCUCUCACCAAUCAUCACUUUUGGUGGUCUACUCAGCGAAGCUACUGGGAAAAACAUGGCCGCUAUGGAAUCCUUGGUAUCUGGUUUCGUUUGUGGACUCGGUUAUGGAUUUUUCUCCGGACAACCAUUGACAAUUCUUGGAUCAACCGGUCCCGUGUUGGUCUUCGAAACUAUUGUAUAUGAAUUUUGCAAACAAUCCGAUUGGAAUUACAUGUCAUUUCGUUUUUGGAUUGGCACCUGGACUGCCGUCAUUUUGUUAACCCUCGUUGCCCUUGACGCUAGCGCCUUCGUUUGCUACAUAACACGUUUUACCGAAGAAAAUUUUGCCACCCUCAUCGCUUUCAUUUUUAUUUACAAGGCUGUGGAAAAUGUCCUCUCGAUUGGCAAAAAGUAUCCCAUAAAUACUCACGCCAAUGAUCACUUGGCAUACGAUUGUUGGUGCAAACCACCGAACGAUAGUUCGCUUUAUGGCACUGAGAACGUCAAUUGGACGAAUUUGAAUCGGACUACGUGCCAGAAUUACAAUGGCACGUUGAUGGGAGAUAGUUGUAACAUACAACAACCUGUACCCGAUGUGUUCCUCAUGUCAAUUAUCCUUUUCAUGGGCACCUUCUUAUUAUCCGUCGAAAUGAAGGACUUUAAGAAUGCUCUUUUCUUUCCAUCUAAGGUUAGACAAGUGAUCAGCGAUUUUGCCGUUAUAAUAGCAAUCUUUUCGAUGUCCUUGUUGGAUCACUUCGUGGGUAUAGCAACGCCAAAGUUAGAAGUACCUGAAGAAUUCAAACCCACCUUGGAUGGCCGGGGAUGGAUGAUUUGGCCUUUUCAGAAUAAUCCAUGGUGGAGCGCCAUCGUGGCUGUUCUACCAGCUCUCUUGGGCACUAUAUUGAUCUUUAUGGAUCAACAGAUCACAGCUGUGAUCGUUAAUAGAAAAGAAAAUAAAUUAAAGAAAGGAUGCGGCUAUCAUCUGGACCUGUUUAUCCUUGCGAUCCUGAUCGAAAUCUGUUCGGUUAUGGGAUUACCAUGGUUCGUAGCUGCUACGGUGCUAUCGAUAAAUCACGUUAACUCGUUGAAAUUGGAAUCGGAAUGCGCUGCCCCAGGAGAAAAACCACAAUUUUUAGGUGUCAGAGAACAAAGAGUCACGCACAUACUGAUCUUUUUAAUGAUCGGUUGUUCCGUUUUAUUGACACCUAUGUUAAGACACAUACCAAUGCCAGUACUGUUCGGUGUCUUCCUUUAUAUGGGUGUUGCGUCAUUAAAAGGAUUACAAUUCUUCGAUAGAAUACUCAUCAUGCUUAUGCCGGUGAAGUACCAACCAGAUUAUAUGUUCCUUAGACAGGUGCCAUUAAAACGCGUCCACAUUUUCACUGCAAUACAAUUGACCUGUCUGGCAUGUCUUUGGAUCAUCAAAUCAUUCAGCACUACCUCCAUUUUAUUCCCAUUGAUGCUCGUGGUUAUGAUAGGAAUUCGAAAAUCAUUGGAUUUCGUUUUUACACAACGCGAAUUGAAGAUACUCGAUGACGUGAUGCCAGAACCAAGCAAGAAACAUGCCGACGAUCUUCGCCAAUUGGAAAGCGGCGAGGAACAUCAUCAAAAUUAUCCCAUCGGUUAUGGACCACCGGAAAACAUUCAAAUAUCAUAUUCGAAUGGUGAUAUUAUGAAGAUACCAUUGGCUAGCAUCAAUAUCAGCGAGGAAGUUAAUAAAACUGGAAUUUGGCAACAAGUUAAUGAAAGUAACGAGAAAACUAAACAAUCUAAAUUAAUGAACAAAUCGAAGAAACAUUCAAAGAAGGAUGGUUCGUUGCUGGUCGAUGAGACAACAAGGCUGACGACCAUGACAGAGGAAGACGAGGAUGACACUGGCAUAUCGAUCAAGGUGACGAGCGUAAAUGACUCUAAAUUCUAACAAGCAUCAUCACAGCAAGACACACAGCAAGAGCACCAAUACACCGGCAUGCGACAUACCCCAUAUACCACAGGCUGUAGAUCUGAUAAGAUCGAAGGAGAGUAUCGGCCCAGUGAAAGUAAAUGGCACUACAUCGGCAGAAACAUCUGUUUAACGAUUUAUC
rnacentral:misc_RNA from 1 species